rnacentral:rRNA from 1 species
UACGUAGGGUGCAAGCGUUAAUCGGAAUUACUGGGCGUAAAGCGUGCGCAGGCGGUUUUGCAAGACAGAUGUGAAAUCCCCGGGCUCAACCUGGGAACUGCAUUUGUGACUGCACGGCUAGAGUGCGGCAGAGGGAGAUGGAAUUCCGCGUGUAGCAGUGAAAUGCGUAGAUAUGCGGAGGAACACCGAUGGCGAAGGCAAUCUCCUGGGCCUGCACUGACGCUCAUGCACGAAAGCGUGGGGAGCAAACAGG